AGGCAGCAGUUGGGGAAUAUUGCACAAUGGGCGCAAGCCUGAUGCAGCCAGUGCCCGCGUGUAUGAAGUAAGGCCUUCGGGUUGUAAAGUACUUUCAGUCAGUGAGGAAGUGGGUAUGUUAAUAGCAUAUUCAUUUGACGUUAGCUGCAGAAGAAGCACCGGCUAACUCCCGUGCCAGCAGCCGCGGUAAUACGGAGGGUGCGAGCGUUAAUCGGAAUUACUGGGCGUAAAGCGCAUGCAGGUGGUUUGUUAAGUCAGAUGUGAAAGCCCGGGGCUCAACCUCGGAAUUGCAUUUGAAACUGGCAAACUAGAGUACUGUAGAGGGGGUAGAAUUUCAGGUGUAGCGGUGAAAUAGCGUAGAGAUCUGAAGGAAUACCGGUGGCGAAGGCGGCCCCCUGGACAGAUACUGACACUCAGAUGCGAAAGCGUGGGGAGCCAAACAGGAUUAGAUACCCUGGUAG
rnacentral:rRNA from 1 species